UCCGUUUCCGGUGCGGGCCGCGCGCGAGCGCAGGAGUGGGAGGCGGCGGCGAGCCGGUUGAGGCCUCAGGCUUGGCCUCACCACAAUGUGGCACGAGGCUCGGAAGCAUGAGCGGAAGCUUCGAGGCAUGAUGGUUGACUACAAGAAGAGGGCAGAACGGAGGCGGGAAUAUUAUGAAAAGAUUAAGAAGGACCCAGCCCAGUUCCUGCAGGUGCAUGGCCGAGCCUGCAAGGUGCAUCUGGAUUCUGCAGUGGCCCUGGCCGCAGAGAGCCCAGUUAACAUGAUGCCCUGGCAGGGGGACACCAACAACAUGAUUGACCGCUUUGAUGUUCGUGCCCACCUGGACCACAUCCCCGACUACACCCCCCCACUGCUCACCACCAUCUCCCCGGAACAGGAGUCAGACGAGCGGAAAUGUAACUACGAGCGCUACCGAGGCCUGGUGCAGAACGACUUUGCUGGCAUCUCAGAGGAGCAGUGCCUGUACCAGAUUUACAUCGACGAGUUGUACGGAGGUCUUCAGAGACCCAGUGAGGACGAGAAGAAGAAGCUGGCAGAAAAGAAGGCUUCCAUUGGUUACACCUAUGAGGACAGCACAGUGGCCGAGGUAGAGAAGGUAGCAGAGAAGCCCGAGGAGGAGGAGUCGCCGGCUGAGGAGGAGAGCAACUCGGAUGAAGAUGAGGUCAUCCCCGACAUCGACGUGGAGGUGGAUGUAGAUGAACUGAACCAGGAGCAGGUGGCAGAUCUCAACAAACAGGCCACAACCUAUGGCAUGGCUGAUGGGGACUUUGUCAGGAUGCUUCGGAAAGACAAGGAAGAGGCGGAGGCCAUCAAACAUGCCAAGGCCCUUGAGGAGGAGAAAGCCAUGUAUUCGGGCCGUCGCUCCCGGCGCCAGCGGAGAGAGUUCCGGGAGAAGCGGCUGCGGGGUCGCAAGAUCAGCCCACCCAGCUAUGCGCGCCGAGACAGCCCCACCUACGACCCCUACAAGCGGUCGCCCUCAGAGUCCAGUUCCGAGUCCCGCUCCCGCUCCCGCUCCCCGAGCCCAGGCCGGGAAGAGAAGAUCACCUUCAUCACCAGUUUUGGGGGCAGCGACGAGGAGGCAGCCGCAGCUGCCGCUGCUGCUGCCGCAUCAGGGGCCGCCACAGGGAAGCCCCCCGCGCCCCCUCAGCCGGGCGGCCCCGCACCGGGACGCAAUGCCAGCGCCCGCCGCCGCUCCUCUUCCUCCUCCUCCUCCUCUUCUGCCUCGAGGACCUCCAGCUCCCGCUCCAGUUCCCGGUCCAGUUCCCGCUCCCGCCGUGGUGGGGGCUACUACCGCUCCAGCCGCCAUGGCCGCUCCCGCUCCCGCUCCUGGUCCCGCUCCCGCUCCCGCUCCCGGCGCUACUCCCGGUCGCGCAGCCGUGGCCGGAGGCACUCAGGUGGGGGCUCCCGAGAUGGACACCGCUACUCACGUUCACCCACCCGGCGGGGCGGUUAUGGGCCCCGGCGCAGAAGCAGGAGCCGCUCCCGCUCAGGGGACCGCUAUAGACGGGGUGGCCGGGGCCCCAGGCAUCGCAGUAGCAGCCGCAGUCGCAGUAGCUGGUCCCUCAGCCCUUCCCGUAGCCGAAGCCUGACCCGCAGUCGCAGCCGAAGCCCAAGCCAGAGCCGCAGUCGCAGCCACAGCCGCAGCCACAGCCAGAGUCACUCGCCAUCGCCCCCAAGGGAGAAGCUGACCCGGCCAGCAGCGUCCCCUGCUGUGGGCGAGAAGCUGAAAAAGACCGAACCUGCCGCUGGUAAAGAGACAGGAGCUGCCAAAGUCAGUAAGAAUUUGGAACUCGCCCGUCUAAUUCCCGCCAGCAGCAGUGCCCGAGAGCUGGGCCCGGUGGGCCUGCAGGGGGGCCCGGGUGGGCCGGGAGAUCCCGCCCCAGGGAUUGAGGAGGGAGGGGGUGAAGGGGUCUGCCUUCAUGAAAACCAUGUCCCCUCCCUGCCUCACUGCACAUCCGGGCUCCAUCUGUCCUUGAGCCUCUCAGAGCCUUGUGGCAGGUGUUCAUGGCUUGCCCCUUUCCCCACACGUCCCCCACAAGUCCCAGGCGCUUGCCUGAGGUGGGAUGGGAGCUCCAGGACACCCACCCCUCCUGCUUCUUCUCCCCCUUCCCCAGCCCAAGCUGACGCCACAGGAGAAGCUGAAGCUAAGGAUGCAGAAGGCGCUGAACAGGCAGUUCAAGGCGGAUAAGAAGGCUGCUCAGGAGAAGAUGAUCCAGCAGGAGCAUGAGCGCCAGGAGCGGGAAGAUGAGCUUCGAGCCAUGGCCCGCAAGAUCCGGAUGAAAGAACGGGAACGCCGAGAGAAGGAGCGAGAAGAGUGGGAGCGCCAGUACAGCCGGCAGAGCCGCUCGCCCUCCCCCCGCUACA